rnacentral:rRNA from 1 species
GACGAACGCUGGCGGCGUGCUUAACACAUGCAAGUCGAACGAAGUGGCGAACGGGUGAGUAACGCGUAAUCAACCUGCCCUUCAGAGGGGGACAACAGUUGGAAACGACUGCUAAUACCGCAUACCGGAGGUGGGGUAUGCGUUUGGUUAGCUAGUUGGGGGGGUAACGGCCCACCAAGGCGAUGAUCAGUAGGCGGUCUGGAGGGAUGCACGGGCACAUUGGGACUGAGGCACGGCCCAGACUCCUACGGGAGGCAGCAGUGGGGAAUCUUCCGGCAUGGGCGAAAGUCUGACGGGGCAAAGCCGCGUGAGUGAUGACGGCCUUCGGGUUGUAAAGCUCUGUUAAUCGGGACGCGGUACCGGAAUAGAAAGCCACGGCUAACUACGUGCCAGCAGCCGCGGUAAUUC